UACGUAGGGUGCAAGCGUUAAUCGGAAUUACUGGGCGUAAGGCGUGCGCAGGCGGUUUUGUAAGCCAGAUGUGAAAUCCCCGGGCUUAACCUGGGAAUGGCAUUUGGGACUGCAAGGCUGGAGUGCGGCAGAGGAGACUGGAAUUCCUGGUGUAGCAGUGAAAUGCGUAGAUAUCAGGAGGAAUACCGAUGGCGAAGGCAGGUCUCUGGGCUGACACUGACGCUCAUGCACGAAAGCGUGGGGAGCAAACAGG
rnacentral:rRNA from 1 species